UCUUGGCUUCUCAGGCAGACUUUUUUUUUUUUUCUUUCUUUCUUUUUGAUAAACAGUCAAGAGCUGAGCUACAGUGCAGAGAAGAUAUUUUCAUUUUCUAGCUGCUGCCUCAUAAACAGAAAGCUGUGAAGACAAUGUGGUUAGAAAUGAUGAAUAUAUAGCCAGUGGCUUUAAUAUCUUUAAUACUCUCUGUGGACGUGGCGGAGAAUGGAACAGUGUAUUAGAUAAUGAUGAAAAAGAGGAAAAAAGAUGGUGAGCUCUUUUCAACUCUGAGGUUUUGUGUUCCAUUAGGAUUUUUUACUGCAGAUGGUGGCCGUAAUGCUUCACUCAGGGCUAACAAGACAACUUUUUUUUUUUUUUUUUAUGGUUAUAGCCUCACAGUUUCAAGGCACUGAGUGUUAAAUGCUGGUGUGGACAAAACAACAGGAACACCUGCAAUCUACUGGCAGACUACCGGUGUUACAGUGAACAGAAGACAAACAUUACGGUACAGAGACAAAAUCAACAAACUGCUGUAGCUACAAGUCACGGACAGACAGCGUGUCGCUAACAGGAAGAGCAACGACCAAACCAGCAUCUAACAGAGAGCAGCCAUCAUCCCACUGAUAGGAAACAGGAUCCCUUAAUCACCGUCUCCAUAUUACACCAACAAAGAGUGGGUGACUCUACACGCAGCUGACACACCUUCACUACUCUACGUCCUCGCUACUCGUUGUGCUGCAAGACUGACGUUCAUAUCACGUUUUUAGGAGGCCUUUUCCUGCUCAUCCAGCUCCAUAAAGACACAGUUUUCCCAGUUUGGAGUGGAAGAAACUUGACUCAACAUCAGUGUUGAACUUCCAGCCAAGGAUUGAAAUAUAUGGUUAUUAUAGCAGCAGAUUAAUCUGAUUAAUCGUUUUGAAAUGACAUUUUCAGCUGUAAUAUUUGACG